rnacentral:rRNA from 1 species
CAGAGGGUGCGAGCGUUAAUCGGAAUUACUGGGCGUAAAGCGCACGUAGUCGGCUUGCCAAGUCGGGUGUGAAAUCCCCGGGCUCAACCUGGGAACUGCAUCCGAAACUGGCUUGCUAGAGUAUGGGAGAGGGAGGCGGAAUUUCUGGUGUAGCAGUGAAAUGCGUAGAUAUCAGAAGGAACAUCAGUGGCGAAGGCGGCCUCCUGGACCAAUACUGACGAUCAGGUGCGAAAGCGUGGGGAGCAAACAGGAUUAGAUACCCUGGUAGUCCACGCCCUAAACGAUGACAACUGGAUGUCGGGAGGGUUUGCCUUCCGGUGUCGUAGCUAACGCGUUAAGUUGUCCGCCUGGGAAGUACGGCCGCAAGGUUG